rnacentral:tRNA from 1 species
GCCUGGAUGGCGCAGUGGUAACGCGUUCGCCUUGUAAGCGAAAGAUCCCGAGUUCGACCCUCGGUCUAGGCA